CCCAGUGGAGCAGGGGUGGGGUCCUUUUUUCCGCCAAGGGCCAUGUGGAUAUCUGUAACAUCAUUCGUGGCCCAUACAAAAUUAUCAACCUAAAAAUUAGCCUGCUCUAACAUUUCAUUGACUCACCCGUCAUGCCCUGGCAGGGCCAGACCAAGUGAUUGUACGGGCUUUAUGUGGGCCCCGUGCCAGACAUUCCCACCCCUCUCUCUAACGAAAAGUUGUCACUGCGGCUGCCAAAGGUGUCACUGAAAGACAGUUUCCGGAGUCGGUGUUCCUAAGCCUGAGACAGGAAAAUUGGGGUUCAGCUUGUAAUGGCGCGGCCUGGCCGAACAUGACAGCCUCCAGUUGCUCCAGGCCUCCCGUGGGCACACCCUGUGCUUCCUUCCUUGUGGGAGGAAGGCAGAGGGAGCGUUUCUCCAGCCUUCUAACAACCAGGGCCCGAUAGCUCGCUGCCCACUGCCAUUUGGUAAUAUUUUUUUGUUUGUUUGUUAAGUGUCCAUCCUCUUUCCUUUUCCUUUACCACUGACAUCAUCCGAAUAUGUAAUGUAUUAAAUGCAUAUGCAUUGAAAAUAUUGU